AGUGAACGCUGGCGGUAGGCCUAACGCAUGCAAGUCGAACGGCAGCACAGUAAGAGCUUGCUCUUACGGGUGGCGAGUGGCGGACGGGUGAGGAAUACAUCGGAAUCUACUUUUUCGUGGGGGAUAACGUAGGGAAACUUACGCUAAUACCGCAUACGACCUACGGGUGAAAGCAGGGGAUCUUCGGACCUUGCGCGAUUGAAUGAGCCGAUGUCGGAUUAGCUAGUUGGCGGGGUAAAGGCCCACCAAGGCGACGAUCCGUAGCUGGUCUGAGAGGAUGAUCAGCCACACUGGAACUGAGACACGGUCCAGACUCCUACGGGAGGCGGCAGUGGGGAAUAUUGGACAAUGGGCGCAAGCCUGAUCCAGCCAUACCGCGUGGGUGAAGAAGGCCUUCGGGUUGUAAAGCCCUUUUGUUGGGAAAGAAAAGCAGCAGGUUAAUACCCCGCUGUUCUGACGGUACCCAAAGAAUAAGCACCGGCUAACUUCGUG
rnacentral:rRNA from 1 species